rfam:Ovis aries breed Texel chromosome 5, whole genome shotgun sequence.
UCCCUGGUGGCUCAGACGGUAAAGCAUCUGCCUAUAGUGUGGGAGACCCGGGUUCAAUCCCUGGGUGGGGAA